rnacentral:rRNA from 1 species
AACCAGUUGUAAACUAUAGCAAGCAAUCCUGCGGGUGGCUUCGGCUGCUCGUGGGUAACAUGGAUAACCCUGGUAAUUCUGAGGCUAAUACAAGAACGUACUCCCUGGCUGACCGGCAACGGAAGGCUGGGGAGCGUGCAACGUAUCGUAGGGAUAAACCGGGAAUGGGUGCACGCUUGGACCGCGCUAAAGACAGAUCUCGGCGAGCCUUCGGGUGAGCCUUGGCCUGAGCGGCUCUUGCUGUGUGCUUCUGACCUAUCAACUAGACGGCAGCGUAAGGGACAUGCUUUGGUUACAACGGGUACAGAGGAUUAGGGUUCGAUCCUGGAGAGUGGGCCUGAGAGAUU